CACCAACCAUUAUUAUGUACACCGUCUUCUCUAGUACACAUUCUUUUACAAUACUUGAGAAAGAGAGAGAGAGAGAGAGAGAGAGAGAGAGAGAGAGAGAGAGAGAGAGA